AUUACCCAAAUCAAAUUGAUGACAAUCUCUCUCAAAUUGUAACAUCUUCAUCAAGUAAUUCAAAUUUCAAUAUAUCUUCUCUAAAAUCUCUCUCAAUCGUAGCAAAUUCAUAAAAGUCAAAAACAGUAUACGUGAUGAUUAUAUAUAUUUUGUUGAGUUAGUCAAGCAUUUGGGAAAGCGAUGUGAGUUAUAAAUGAUACAAAAAUGAUUAAAUAUUAUUGGACGAACAAUUUCUUUGUGAAUUUCAAAUAUGUCAUUACAGCUGAAUUGGAGAUUGAAGGAAGAACCUAAAAAUCUUAUAUAUUAUUACCUUACCUAUUUUAGAAGUGAACAAAGUAAAGGACUAACGCAGCAUCUGAUUAUUGUACAAAAGGCAUGGUACAGUGUACAUUUGAGACACUCUCCAAAGGCAUCCUGCAACUCAGCCCCGAAAUUGUAAGGUUUAGUUGUCUUUUGUCUGAAGGUGAAACAAGACUUUCUUCAGCAGCAAGUUUCAGACGCUCCAAAUACUGCAACAACCAUAUUUAGAAUGUCCAUGAUUGUUCUGUUAAGCUCUUUCACUGUGGCAUCUGUUAGUGGAGUUUCUGGUCACGCCCAUUUUGUUUUCUUCAGUUCCUCUUUCACAAUUUCAUUUUACCCUUUUGUCAUAAAGUAAAGGUGGUGUAUUGUAAAGUUCAAAGAUUCAGUGAUCCUACACGAGUGCUGCUAUAAGAAGAUGCAUUUCCAUGUUGUUGGUAACAGAAACUUCUCUCAGGUUUUCAGGUUAGCUUCGUGUUUCCUAUCAAUAAAAAAAAGACUAUUGAAUACGAAAGAUGUUCUUUCUAUGCGGAUGUUUAGUAAAAAACAAGUCCCAUUAAUGAUGAUUGUGUCUUGACGGGUCCUGUUUAUUUCCUAAAUCAUAAUUACUACCCAAGUAAAUCAUAAUUGGCAAUGGGAUUUAAUCCUUGGAAAAUAGUUACGGGAGCAUAAUUCAAAAUUCAAAAUUCUUUUUUUCAUUUUUUUUAAAAAAAAAAUCCCAAAUUUUGAAUCAAAAUUUUCAAUAAAUUGUGCUGAUACAGUAUGAAUCUAUCGAUCUUGUUGAGACAUUCUGGAAUCUAGGAAAGAACGAUAUAAAAGUGAUAGAAUUGUUGGUGAAAAUAUUGAUUUUGUGAAUCUCAAAUCAACAAUAACAACUGUAUUAGAUAUCGAUGAGUUGAGAAAAAAAUUUGGAGAUGUGAUUCCUGUUGAGGUAAAGAAACAAGGUCUUGAAUUUUCAAUGCAUCCGCUAUGUGUUGAUACAACUAACAAAAAGGUUGAAGAUAUACAUUAAUUUCAUGAAUCAUCCAUAUCUUUUAUAAUGUUGUGUAAUCAUUUUUGAAAUUGUGUUUUCAAAAUGGAUAACUUUAUUAUCAAUACAUUACUAUUUGUGCA